GAUGAACGCUGACAGAAUGCUUAACACAUGCAAGUCGACCUGAAUGUGGGUUCUUAACUUAGGUUCGGGUGGCGGACGGGUGAGUAACGCGUAAAGAACUCGCCUCACAGCUAGGGACAACACUUGGAAACGAAUGCUAAUACCUAAUAUUAUGAUAAUAGGGCAUCCUAUAAUUAUGAAAGCUAUAAGCGCUGUGAGAGAGCUUUGCGUCCUAUUAGCUAGUUGGAGGGGUAACGGCUCACCAAGGCGUUGAUGGGUAGCCGGCCUGAGAGGGUGAUCGGCCACAAGGGGACAGAGACGCGGCCGUUACUCCUAGGGGAGGGAGCAGGGGAGAAUAUUGGAAAAGGGACCGGGAGUCUGAUGCAGCACUUCUGUGGGCAUGAUGACGUUUUUGGGAAUAUAAGGUGCUUUCAGUUGGGAAGAAACAAAGAACGGAACCAAUAGAGGAAGUCACGGCUACUUACGU
rnacentral:rRNA from 1 species